CCUUGCUUCAAGAGUUCUAGCUCUUAAAACUCGACUAGCCCUAUAUCAGUCAGGCUUCUCCAAGAACCUGACUCGAUCCUUUUAGAUAUUUCUCUAGACUUUUGAUUUUUUUUCUUUAAGAUUCUCACAAUUCUUGUUUGGACCAGAUAAGGCUUUGUCUUAAAUCUCAAAGCCUUGUCCUAAAACUAAGAUAGGUUGUAAGAAAGAAGGGUGAGCAACAAAGAGA
rnacentral:lncRNA from 1 species